rnacentral:lncRNA from 1 species
CUGACACAUGCUGUAAUAUUUAAGGUAGAGGUUUCUUUAAAAGAAGCUACUACUGUGCAUUUUCAGAAGGAGUUUUACCUACAGCAUUGGAUCCUCAAAAGUGGAGUUCUCAAGAGUACUGUAGAAGAGGAGGAAAGUGUGAGUGAUGGCCAACAAUGAAGAGCUACUGAGUAACAUGGAGGAUACUUUUUCAUAAUCAUUGUACUGAAUUCCAACACCUACACACAGGAUUCUAAAUCAUGGCUGCCCAUGGAGAAAAGUUCAGCUUUUCACUUUAUUCAGAUUGUCUCCAUUGAACCAAAAGGAUGGCAGUGUGCUACACAUUGUGUUUCCAUGCUCACUUCCAGGUAAUUUCAGUGCUUUUGGAGUCAUAUUGCCAGCCAUGCCUACCAUAAUGCACUGUAUUGUACCAAAAGAUCUUCAUAUUCCUAUGUCAAUUUAUGUUUUUAUUUCUAGCCAAAUAUAUACAGAGAUAUCAGAAUAUUCUGUUAACAUUGUUCGUUUUCCAAAAAAUCCAGUAUACAACAUACAUUAAUUCUGGUAUAUCCACUUUCCUGCUUUACAACAUCUUCA